AAGCAUCUAGCCAAACCUCAUUAUCUCUUCCAGAGGAGUCAAGUCGACUACAUCCAGAAUGCCAAAGAAUGGCUGAUUCAAAUAUGCACUAAUUAUAGCAGACAUGUUUUCAGGAUGGCCAGAGGCCUAUCCAGCCACCAAAGUGAUAACCAAGACCACAUGCUGAGUAGUGCACUGUGAAAGUUACAGAGAUCACCCCGUGGAUUCAUCAUUCCAGAAUCAAGCCUGCCUCUGCAUCAUGUGAAGUAGCAUUUGUUGAUCUUGACAACCCUUUUUUGAAACUCCAUGCUUAGAGAACAAAGAUACUUGUUGAAAAUAAAUAAAUAAAUAAAUAUCAACAAGUGGGUGUUUUGAUGGCCAUAAUAAUGCCUGACCACCUGCCAUCGAUGGAAAGCCGAAUACCCCAAAAGGGGACCUCGUGAAACUAAAGAGAAACAGACAUACUUUUUACCCUGCAGCCCUCACGUCUGAGGUGCCAUACGCACAGUCAAAGCUUCUUCAGGAUCAUCUGCUUAUCUUGAGUUUGUGGUGAUAUUAAUAUUGAAUGUUUAAAUGAUCUGAAUCUGCCAGUACUAGGGUAGCAUGAGACAAGAUUUCUAAGAUUAAGAAUAAGUAAAUGUGCCCUAGCCAAGGUUAUUAUGUCCAUACACAUAACACAUGACAAUCCCCAAGGUACUCUUGACACACCUCAUUCAUGCUUCAGGACAAAAAGGAGUACCCCUAUAAAGGGUGGUUUUACC